UCUCUUCAUCUUCUCAAUUGGUUGUUACAAGUUCAGGUAUUCCUCUCUUUAGUCUUUGUCUAAUCUUCAGUUUCUUUUUUUCCAUCAUCUUCUGAACUUUCUUUCCCUUUUCAAAAUUUCCAUUUUCUUAGCUAAAUUUCGUGGUUGUUGAAGGAAAGAUGAAACUUUUAGUUCAUAAUUUUCGUCAAACUCCAACUUCUUUCUGAAUUUUACCAAUGUCGCGGGAAAGAUUGAAAUUUUUAGUUGAAAAUUGGAAAAAAAAAAUACAGAGGAGAAGGAUUCUUUUACAGUUUUUCCUCUCAGUUAUGACCAUUACGUGUUCGUGUGCUUGUGCAGCAUCAAGUGUGGUAACUGGGUACAAUUUCAGAGAAUUUUGUUACUUGAGUAAUACACACAACUAACUUCUGCAACGAGCUGAAUUUAGAUUACGUGAUUUAGCUAAGUCUGAUGUGAAAGUAUUCACUCAAAUCAACUAAAGGAAUCAAUAACAAGAUGCUGGAGUUGAGCAAGUCAAUCUGGAAAUCAAAUUCUAUUCGUAGUGUAUGCCAAAUUUGAUUAUGUCUCUUAAGGCAUUUAGUCAAGAAUUCUUUAGAGAAGCUAUUAACGAGACGAAAAGCUAUGUGAAGUAAAAGAGUAAACGGUCAGAGAUGCCCUUGUAGAUCACCUACCCAGCUUUGGAAGGACAUGGGUGGAUAAUUAUCACCGGAUUUGAUCCAAAAAAACACAGGGCGUAGUUACCUUAUUCUUUUGAGAAGGCGUUCUUCUACUGGAGAUUCUGAUGACAAGAAGAUCAGUGAGGAGCAAAUGGAAAGCUAUUGCUUGGUUGAUUAUCAAAAAUCUAUGUUGAGAGCUACUGUCACUUUAUUGAAAAUGCUAAUCUAAUUGCAAGUUCUUUGUUUGCUUGUUCUGUAAUGCCAACAUGACGGGUAACAAAGACAAAAAGGUUGAGAGUAAUGCAUGUUUCACGUUGUGUCAUAUGAGAGUAUACCUCCAGCUAAAGAAUAUAGUGACUUUUCGUCUUUCUGUGUGAAUGGUAUGCCUGCUUUGGCAUCUCAUUUGAGAUUUGUUCGUGUUUAGCAGAUAGCACAUAUGUUCAAGAGCUUGAAAUGCACCUACUGUAUAUUUUUAAGAAUCCUAGGGUCUUUGCCCUCACUAAGGAGAAAAGAUUCUUUCGACUUUACAUUGAUAGCUUUUUUUAAUUAUUUAUUGAAGGCUACAAUCAGUCUCACAUAUUAUGUUGAAGAACCUUUUGAAAGGAUUGAUUAACAAAAACAAGCCGGGCAUAUGCCCGUGCAACAAACAAGUCGGGGCCUGUGCCCGUGCGUUUUUCUACUAUUUAGAAGAGUGAGUUUUACUCGCUCUUCGUCGUCCGUCGUGAGCCCCUCCAUAACAAAAAAAAAUUUGGGCCCCCUCAUAAAUAAAAUAAAUAAAUUUGGGCUCCCCCCCAAAUAUCAAACAGGCUCACAAAAAUAAAAAAUAAAAAAUUUGGGCUCCCCUCAUAAAAGUGGAACCUUAAAAAAAUAAACAAUGUUAAAAAAAAUUGUGAGCCCAAUAUUAAACACCAUGCGUAUCCGUAACAAAUAUUAAUAUAAUAAAGUUUUAAAUACGGUGCACAAACUACAAUGUUAUAUUA